AGCCCUGUGGUGAAGAGCACGUUGGAUUGCAAAUCCAAAGACGUAGAUUAAUACUCUGCCGGGGCUU
rnacentral:tRNA from 1 species